GGUUGUUAACUAACUCUAACCUAGAGUCCUUCUAUUAACCAGCCCAGUAGUGAGAGUCAAUCCCUUGAGUUAUCUUCCCCUCAAGAGAUCCAAACUGCCUGACUUAGCCUGUCAGUUUCCAUAGCUUUCAGUUCUCUCACACACACACUCCCAACUCCAAAACCGAACUGCUCUCUUCAAACCCUCAAACAGAACUCCCUUCUUCAAACCCCAAAACAGAACUGCCUGGAGCUCUUUUUUUCCUCUGCACUCUAAGACUUGGCUCCUCCCAUCUGCUCUGGCUGGCCAAUCCUAGGAGUCUCUUUCUAAGCUCCCCCCCUUUCUAACCACACUCAAAAUGGCUGCCUGGCCUUCCUCAACAAAAUGGAUGCCUGCCUCACUCACUGUUACCAAGGCUUCAUUUCGGGCCUAAUAGGUCCUGUAGCAAAUCAGGAUCCAGUCGUGUUCACUUCCAAAUAUAGACAUAUCUAUUGCCUCACAGAACUAGUGCUUAUGUAGAUAUUGGGGACCCAGGCUGGAAUCCUGAGGGUGGCAAUAUGCAGCAUAAGUCCAUCUUACACCUGGAUGUAUCUGUUUUGGCCAUUGCUAGUAUUGCCUUCCAACUCCUACAAUGACCAACGCACACACCCCACAAAGUAACUAUUGAGUUAUGUAGCUUCUGCUCCCAUGGCUAUUCUGUGGCUGGUGUAGAGAAGAGGGGGAUUGUAUAAGACUCUGGUUAUGUCCAUGCAACCAUAUUUGAAAUGAUUAUUAUUAUUACACUUUAUUUAUAUUCUGCCCUUCUCCCUCAGUGGAUUACAGCACUUACAUGCAUAGGCAAACAUUCGAUACCUUUACAGUCAUAUAAUGAAGAUACACAAACACAAACAAAAGCAGAGGUUUCUCCUUUCAUUUCCAGCUUCUUGGAGGUGGUGCUCAUCUCUGGCUCUCGGGAAGUAAUUUUCUCUAUUUUCAAGCCGAGGAGCUUCCGUUGUCACCUCCUGAUCGUGUGGCCGACAAGAUUGCUUGGAGCGUCUCUUUGCCUUUUCCCACAGAAGUGGUACCUAUUGAAAUACUCACAUUUACAUGUUUUGAACUGCUAGUUUGGCAGGAGCUAGAGCUGACAGAUGAGAGCUCACCCCAUAUCACAAAUUCAAACUGCCAACUUUUAGGUCAGUAGUUCAGCAGCACAAGGGUUAACCCAUUGCACCACUGCAAUUCCUUAUAGUGGGCCUUUGGUAUUCACCACAGUAUGAUACCAAGACCCCUUGUGAAUAUUAAAAUCCAUGGAUGAUCAAGUCCCAUUAUGUGAAAUGGCAUAGGUGUCCCUUAUAUGAAAUGUCAGAAUUUGUUUUUUGGAAUUACGUUUAAUAGUUUCAAGCUGAGGAUAGUUGAGUUCAAGCUGAGAAUACAGAGGUCCACUAUGGUCCUCUUAAGAUCUCAGUGGAUGAUGUAAUCAUUUGGUGUCUGGAUACAGAAACAUAACCAGAUAUUUUUCCAGUCCCUUUCCUGUUCUCCACCAGCCAUGGCACAUUUUCUUUAUUUGUUAUAUACAAUAAAUAUUAGGGAUAUGUGAUCCAUAAAAAAAUGGUUCAAAAGUCAUUACAAAAUUGGGGGGUGCUGGCCCUUCAUUUCUAAAGUGUUUCUAAAGUAUAAUUCGUGAACAAUGUGUUACUUUAACGAGUGUAACAAAAUUUUGUUACUAUUUCAUUAUAGUAAUUCUUGGGUUAUCUAAGCAAUCAUGCAUGCAUUUUCAAUGUGGGAUGGUUUAUGUAGUUAGUUUUGUUUGUUGCUUAGUAACCUGAAGCCACCAUUUUUAGGGAAAUGGGAAAUGGGAGUAUCCUUUCUGGGGACACACAGGAAGUGAUGUACAUGUGCCUCUUCCUGUCUCUUUCUCUUUGCUCCUGCCUGACCAUGCCAUACCGAUGUUGCUCUUGUUUUGUUAAGAGAUAUGUAGUAUCCUGAACUGUUUUUUCUUUUGGAACUAAGAUGUUUUUACCUGUAUGGCCAUCAUCAUACAAGAUUGAGCAACUUGAGAAACUGCAAAUCCUUGGCAAUCUGCAAGGACGUUGCCCAGGAGACACCUUGAUGUUUUGAUGUUUUACCAUCCUUGUAGGAGGCUUCUCUCAUGUCCCUGCAUGGGGAGCUGGAACUGACAGAGGAGCUUACCCGCUCUCCCUGGAUUCAAACCAGCAACCUUCAGGACAGCAACCCAACCUUUAGGUUAGCAGUCCUGCCGGCACAAGUAUUUAACCCAUUGCACCACUGGUUGUAGCAAUGAAACUAAUGGUGAGGAACAGUGUGGACAUCCCAAAGAAGGAACAGAAGAAGAAAGGACCAAAAGUAUCCCUCAAGAAAGAGAAAGAGAGAGAGAAUGAGCUUCAGUUCUGAAUCAAAACAUCAGUGGUGUCUAUGAUAGCUCAGACUGCAUGAAUGAAUGUGUGAAUUCAUUUUUGGGUGCAGGUUCAUAUAACCAAAACUUGCACCAGGGGCAGAUGUUAAUAGUUCCUACUGGGCCCCACAAUAUAAUAUACAGUUUCUCUUAGGUUAAAUGUUGCUUUUGCACUGAAUACUGUGGGUUCAAUUCAGAAACCAUUAAAGUCAUUGAGAGCCUUGCCAUUAA